UACGUAGGCAGCGAGCGUUGUUCGGAAUUACUGGGCGUAAAGAGUGCGUAGGCGGUUUUCUAAGUUUGGUGUGAAAUCUCCCGGCUUAACUGGGGGGGUGCGCCGAAAACUGGAAGGCUUGAGUAUGGGAGAGGUAAGCGGAAUUCCUGGUGUAGCGGUGAAAUGCGUAGAUAUCAGGAGGAACACCUGCGGCGUAGACGGCUUACUGGACCAUAACUGACGCUGAGGCACGAAAGCGUGGGUAGCAAACAGG
rnacentral:rRNA from 1 species